UACAGAGGGGGCUAGCGUUGUUCGGCAUUACUGGGCGUAAAGGGCGCGUAGGCGGCCCGCUAAGUCAGACGUGAAAUCCCUCGGCUUAACCGGGGAACUGCAUCUGAUACUGGAUGGCUUGAGAUUGGGAGAGGGAUGCGGAAUUCCAGGUGUAGCGGUGAAAUGCGUAGAUAUCUGGAGGAACACCGGUGGCGAAGGCGGCAUCCUGGACCAACACUGACGCUGAGGAGCGAAAGCCAGGGGAGCAAACGGG
rnacentral:rRNA from 1 species